rnacentral:rRNA from 1 species
UACGUAGGGGGCAAGCGUUGUCCGGAAUCAUUGGGCGUAAAGAGCGUGUAGGCGGCCCGGUAAGUCCGCUGUGAAAGUCGGGGGCUCAACCCUCGAAUGCCGGUGGAUACUGUCGGGCUAGAGUGCGGAAGAGGCGAGUGGAAUUCCUGGUGUAGCGGUGAAAUGCGCAGAUAUCAGGAGGAACACCAAUUGCGAAGGCAGCUCGCUGGGACGUAACUGACGCUGAGACACGAAAGCGUGGGUAGCAAACAGG